UACGUAGGGCGCAAGCGUUGUCCGGAAUUACUGGGCGUAAAGCGUGCGCAGGCGGUUUGCUAAGACAGGUGUGAAAUCCCCGGGCUUAACCUGGGAACUGCGCUUGUAACUGGCAAGCUAGAGUGUGGCAGAGGGGGGUGGAAUUCCAGGUGUAGCAGUGAAAUGCGUAGAGAUCUGGAGGAACACCGAUGGCGAAGGCAGCCCCCUGGGCUAACACUGACGCUCAUGCACGAAAGCGUGGGGAUCAAACAGG
rnacentral:rRNA from 1 species